AGUGAACGCUGGCGGUAGGCCUAACACAUGCAAGUCGAACGGCAGCACAGUAAGAGCUUGCUCUUACGGGUGGCGAGUGGCGGACGGGUGAGGAAUACAUCGGAAUCUACUUUUUCGUGGGGGAUAACGUAGGGAAACUUACGCUAAUACCGCAUACGACCUACGGGUGAAAGCAGGGGAUCUUCGGACCUUGCGCGAUUGAAUGAGCCGAUGUCGGAUUAGCUAGUUGGCGGGGUAAAGGCCCACCAAGGCGACGAUCCGUAGCUGGUCUGAGAGGAUGAUAAGCCACACUGGAACUGAGACACGGUCCAGACUCCUACGGGAGGCAGCAGUGGGGAAUAUUGGACAAUGGGCGCAAGCCUGAUCAAGCAAUACCGCGUGAGUGAAGAAGGCCUUCGGGUUGUAAAGCCCUUUUGUUGGGAAAGAAAAGCAGCAGGUUAAUACCCCGCUGUUCUGACGGUACCCAAAGAAUAAGCACCGGCUAACUUCGUG
rnacentral:rRNA from 1 species